rnacentral:rRNA from 1 species
GUGGGGAAUUUUGGACAAUGGGCGCAAGCCUGAUCCAGCAAUGCCGCGUGUGUGAAGAAGGCCUUCGGGUUGUAAAGCACUUUUGUCCGGAAAGAAAUGGCCUGGGUUAAUACCCCGGGUCGAUGACGGUACCGGAAGAAUAAGCACCGGCUAACUACGUGCCAGCAGCCGCGGUAAUACGUAGGGUGCGAGCGUUAAUCGGAAUUACUGGGCGUAAAGCGUGCGCAGGCGGCGAUGCAAGACAGAUGUGAAAUCCCCGGGCUCAACCUGGGAACUGCAUUUGUGACUGCAUGGCUAGAGUGCGUCAGAGGGGGGUGGAAUUCCGCGUGUAGCAGUGAAAUGCGUAGAGAUGCGGAGGAACACCGAUGGCGAAGGCAGCCCCCUGGGAUGACACUGACGCUCAUGCACGAAAGCGUGGGGAGCAAACAGGAUUAGAUACCCGUGUAGUCC